AAACCAUGAUUUGGAGACUUCUGCAAAUACUACUUGAAUCUCUCCCAAGCUUCAAACAGUUGCUCCCCCGGAAGCUGUUUGAUAUUAUAGAUCUUAUCAUGGAUUUC